GUUUGCACAGAAACUCAAGCCACUGCAAAGCUCACCUUUGUAGCCUUUGCCCUUGGUCACCCCGAUGACGUCGAUCAUCUCAUCCUGCCCAAACACUUGGUUCACAGGUACCUGCUGCUCAAGCCUCUCGCGGGCCCAGUCCAGCUUCUCAGCCACGGUGCCUCCGUUCACCUGGAUCUCCAUCAGGUGGGCCUUCUUCUGGCGCAGAGGAAGCAGGCGCAUCUAGGAGGAGGUAGACACAGCUCAGCUCCAGCUGCCAACGCUCCUCCCACAGCAGAGGAACUGCAGCUCCAUGCGGCCUGAUUGAUGUCAAGCACACGGCAAAAAGCCAGUAACUCUGAACAAGUCACUGAACCUCACCAACAGGAAGGAACUUUCAUUUUUGCCAACAGCAACAACUUAACUUUGGAUACUGGUGCCUGAGUUACUGUCAGGAUGAGCGGACAAGGCCCACACCACAGUUUCCCUCCCCCUCCACUCCUAUUCCCCCAACUUUUAGGAUGCCUGUACAUACUGGAUCCUGGCCUGUCGACUUCUCGCACGAUGUGAGUCAUGCCAGCCUUGUAUCCCAGGAAGGCUGUGAGGUGGACCGGCUUGGACGGGUCAUCCUUAGGGAAGCUCUUCACCUUCCCACGAUGCCUGCUGCUGCGCUUCCGAGGCAGGAAGCCGAGGGACCCAUGUCUGGGAGCGGAGAACUUUCUGUGAGA